CUACGGGAGGCAGCAGUGGGGAAUAUUGGACAAUGGGCGCAAGCCUGAUCCAGCCAUGCCGCGUGAGUGAUGAAGGCCUUAGGGUUGUAAAGCUCUUUUGUCCGGGACGAUAAUGACGGUACCGGAAGAAUAAGCCCCGGCUAACUUCGUGCCAGCAGCCGCGGUAAUACGAAGGGGGCCAGCGUUGCUCGGAAUCAUUGGGCGUAAAGGGUGCGUAGGCGGCCAUUCAAUUCGGGGGUGAAAGCCCAGGCUCAACCACAGAAUUGCCUU
rnacentral:rRNA from 1 species